rnacentral:rRNA from 1 species
AGCGAACGCUGGCGGCAGGCCUAACACAUGCAAGUCGAACGUGAAGCUGGAGCUUGCUCCAGUGGAAAGUGGCAGACGGGUGAGUAACGCGUGGGAAUUUACCCAGUGGUACGGAAUAACUCAGGGAAACUUGUGCUAAUACCGUAUAAGCCCUUCGGGGGAAAGAUUUAUCGCCAUUGGAUGAGCCCGCGUUAGAUUAGUUUGUUGGUGGGGUAAUGGCCUACCAAGACUACGAUCUAUAGCUGGUCUGAGAGGAUGAUCAGCCACACUGGGACUGAGACACGGCCCAGACUCCUACGGGAGGCAGCAGUGGGGAAUAUUGCACAAUGGGCGCAAGCCUGAUGCAGCCAUGCCGCGUGAGUGAAGAAGGCCUUAGGGUUGUAAAACUCUUUCACCGGUGAAGAUAAUGACGGUAGCCGGUAAAGAAGCCCCGGCUAACUCCGUG